CCUACGUGUAGCAGCAGUGAGGAAUAUUGGUCAAUGGACGGAAGUCUGAACCAGCCAUGCCGCGUGCAGGAUGACGGCUCUAUGAGUUGUAAACUGCUUUUGUACGAGAAUAAUAGGUGUUACGCGUAGCGAUUUGAAUGUAUCGUACGAAUAAGGAUCGGCUAGCUCCGUGCCAGCAGCCGCGGUAAUACGGAGGAUUCAAGCGUUAUCCGGAUUGAUUGGGUUUAAAGGGUGCGUAGGCGGUCGGAUAAGUUAGAGGUGAAAUGCCGGGGCUUAACCCCGUGACUGCAUCUGAUACUGUUCGACUAGAGAGCAGAUGCGGUAGGCGGAAUGCAUAGUGUAGCGGUGAAAUGCUUAGAGAUCACACAGAACACCGAUGGCGCAGGCAGCUUACCAA
rnacentral:rRNA from 1 species